ensembl:misc_RNA Metazoa_SRP Metazoan signal recognition particle RNA
GCUGGGCAUGGUGAUGCGUGCCUGUAAUCCCAGCUACUUGGGAGGCUGAGCUGGAAGAGUUGCUUGAACCCAGGAGGCGGAGGUUGCAGUGAGCGGAGAUUAUUCCGCCACUGCACUCCAGCCUGGGCAACAGAGUGAUACUCUGUCUCAA